GACACCCCACUCUUGGACAUCUAUUUUCUCUCCAGAAGUGUGAGAAAUAAAUUUCUGUUGUUUAAACGACCCAGUCUGGGGUGACUUAUGGCAACCCUCACAAAAUAAUUCAGCUGAUCACAUCAGCACCCUCUGCCUAUCAUGCAGCAGAAUUUCAGACUUGAAGUGGAACAGGUGUUUGGCCUAAUCCACAUGGUUUGUGCAAGCAGUCUAGGCACAGUAAGCCACGCUUACCAGUUACCGAUGGUGGGAACACUCCCCAAAUUCAAGUUCACAGAUGCAAAUCAAGAGCCAACCAUGCAAGCUGGACCUUCUAAGGAGAGUGGUCUCAGGCCCGCUGUGUUAACGCUUUUCUAUACACACACCCACACCCACACACACACGCAGAGUGACAAUUCCCUGAGAACAAGGGAUGCCCUUCACUCUCUAGCACCUCUAUACCCUUUCUAGUCUAGACAAUGCCUGAGGGGUUAUGAGUGUGGGCUGGGACAAUGACAUCACAGACCAUCAACCCACAGCCUCGUCCUUGGAGAAGACCUAUUCUUUCUUCAAAACAGCCAUGGGAAUCAGGCUUCUCUGUAGUGUGGCCUUUUGUUUCCUGGAAAUAGGCCUCGUGGAAGUGAAAGUAACCCAGAACCCGAGAUAUCUAGUCAAAAAAAUGGGAGAGAAAGUUUUUCUGGAAUGUGUCCAGGAUAUGGACCAUGGAAGAAUGUUCUGGUACCGACAAGACCCAGGUCUGGGGCUACGGCUGAUCUAUUUCUCAUAUGAUAUUAAAAACUAUGAAAAAGGAGAUGUUCCUGAUGGGUACAAUGUCUCUAGAGAGAAGAAGGAGCAGUUCUCCCUGAUUCUGGGGUCUGCCAGCACCAGCCAGACAUCUGUGUACCUCUGUGCCAGCAGCUUAUCCACAGCGCAGCACAGCCACAUCCUUUCUGCACAAAAAGCAGACAUCAGAGAGAAGAGGCCCUAACUCAGGACUGGCGCUGGCCCCAACGGCACAUUCGUGCUCAACAGAAACAAGGGACCUCUAAGGAGAAACUAGCUCCGUAAGCACCCUUCUUUGCAAGGAGAAAAUGAGAUAUGAUUUCUCACCCCUUUACAAGUCAGGGACUGUUCUAGAUUUAGUCCUCCCAAUCCAAUGUGUUGUAAAUUCCCGAGUCCCAACAAGGAGGAUAAGUCCUCUCGCAUAUUCACACUUAGCCCGGUUCUACCAUUUCUUUAAUUAAUGUUACCUUCCCUUUUCUAUCCUUGUC